rnacentral:rRNA from 1 species
AAUAGAUACCCGGGUAGUCCACGCCGUAAACGUUGGAUACUAGGUGUGGCGGUUAUACCAAUGACUGCCGUGCCGAAGCUAACGCAUUAAGUAUCCCGCCUGGGGAGUACGGCCGCAAGGCUAAAACUCAAAGGAAUUGACAGGUCCCCGCACAAGCGGCGGAGCAUGCGGCUUAAUUCGAUGCAACCCGAAGAACCUUACCUGGGUUUGACAUCACGGGAAAAGCUGUAGAAAUACAGUGUCCAUUAGGGCCCGUGACAGGUGGUGCAUGGCUGUCGUCAGCUCGUGUCGUGAGAUGUUGGGUUAAGUCCCGCAACGAGCGCAACCCUUGUCCUAUGUUGCCAGCGGUUCGGCCGGGGACUCAUAGGAGACUGCCGGGGAUAACUCGGAGGAAGGUGAGGACGACGUCAAGUCAUCAUGCCCCUUACAUCCAGGGCUGCACGCAUGCUACAAUGGCCGGUACAACGGGCAGCGACCCCGCGAGGGUGAGCGAAUCCUAAAAAGCCGGUCCUAGUUCGGAUUGAAGUCUGCAACUCGACUU